rnacentral:rRNA from 1 species
CCUACGGGUGGCAGCAGUGAGGAAUAUUGGUCAAUGGACGAGAGUCUGAACCAGCCAAUUAGCGUGAAGGAUGACUGCCCUAUGGGUUGUAAACUUCUUUUAUAUGGGAAUAAAAUGUUCCACGUGUGGGAUUUUGUAUGUACCAUAUGAAUAAGGAUCGGCUAACUCCGUGCCAGCAGCCGCGGUAAUACGGAGGAUCCGAGCGUUAUCCGGAUUUAUUGGGUUUAAAGGGAGCGUAGGUGGAUUGUUAAGUCAUUUGUGAAAGUUUGCGGCUCAACCGUAAAAUUGCGGUUGAAACUGGCAGUCUUGAGUACAGUAGAGGUGGGCGGAAUUCGUGGUGUAGCGGUGAAAUGCUUAGAUAUCACGAAGAACUCCGAUUGCGAAGGCAGUUCACUGGACUGCAACUGACACUGAGGCUCGAAAGUGUGGGUAUCAAACAGGAUUAGAUACCCCAGUAGUC